rnacentral:tRNA from 1 species
GGGCCCGUAGCUCAGUGGUCAGAGCGGGGGACUCAUAACUAGCUCAGGGCCUUCCGAGGGGGGCGGUCGAGACGGAAAAGUGCUGCUCAGGUGGGGUGGAUGACCGAUCCGGCUCGGGCUCG